rnacentral:rRNA from 1 species
GACGAACGCUGGCGGCGUGCUUAACACAUGCAAGUCGAACGGAAAGGCCCUGCUUUUGUGGGGUGCUCGAGUGGCGAACGGGUGAGUAACACGUGAGUAACCUGCCCUUGACUUUGGGAUAACUUCAGGAAACUGGGGCUAAUACCGGAUAGGAGCUCCUGCUGCAUGGUGGGGGUUGGAAAGUUUCGGCGGUUGGGGAUGGACUCGCGGCUUAUCAGCUAGUUGGGGGGGUAGUGGCUUACCAAGGCUUUGACGGGUAGCCGGCCUGGGAGGGUGACCGGCCACAUUGGGACUGAGAGACGGCCCAGACUCCUACGGGAGGCAGCAGUGGGGAAUAUUGCACAAUGGGCGGAAGCCUGAUGCAGCAACGCCGCGUGCGGGAUGACGGCCUUCGGGUUGUAAACCGCUUUCGCCUGUGACGAAGCGUGAGUGACGGUAAUGGGUAAAGAAGCACCGGCUAACUACGUG